rnacentral:rRNA from 1 species
AUACGGAGGGUGCAAGCGUUAUUCGGAAUCACUGGGCGUAAAGGACGCGCAGGCGGUUUGGUAAGUCAGAUGUGAAAGCCCACGGCUCAACCGUGGAAGUGCAUUUGAAACUGUCAGACUUGAGUACUAGAGGGGAAAGUGGAAUUCCCGGUGUAGAGGUGAAAUUCGUAGAUAUCGGGAGGAAUACCGGUGGCGAAGGCGACUUUCUGGCUAGAUACUGACGCUGAGGCGCGAAAGCGUGGGGAGCAAACAGGAUUAGAUACCCUAGUAGUCC